GACGAACGCUGGUGGCGUGCUUAACACAUGCAAGUCGAACGGGAUUUAGUAAACAGCAGCCUCGGUGGAAGAUUACUAAUGAGAGUGGCGAACGGGUGAGUAACGCGUGAGCAACCUGCCUAUGACAGUGGGAUAGCCUCGGGAAACCGGGAUUAAUACCGCAUAAAAUCGUAGAAACACAUGCUUUAACGGUCAAAGAUUUAUCGGUCAUAGAUGGGCUCGCGUCUGAUUAGCUAGUUGGUGAGAUAACAGCCCACCAAGGCGACGAUCAGUAGCCGGUCUGAGAGGAUGAACGGCCACAUUGGAACUGAGACACGGUCCAAACUCCUACGGGAGGCAGCAGUGGGGAAUAUUGCACAAUGGGGGAAACCCUGAUGCAGCGACGCCGCGUGAACGAAGAAGGUAUUCGUAUCGUAAAGUUCUGUCCUAUGGGAAGAUAAUGACAGUACCAUAGAAGAAAGCUCCGGCUAAAUACGUG
rnacentral:rRNA from 1 species